rnacentral:rRNA from 1 species
GAGUUUGAUCGUGGCUCAGGACGAACGCUGGCGGCGUGCCUAAUACAUGCAAGUCGAGCGAGGGUUUUUAAGACCCUAGCGGCGGACGGGUGAGUAACACGUAGGCAACCUGCCUCUCAGACCGGGAUAACAUAGGGAAACUUAUGCUAAUACCGGAUAGGUUUUUGGAUUGCAUGAUCCGAAAAGAAAAGAUGGCUUUUCGCUAUCACUGGGAGAUGGGCCUGCGGCGCAUUAGCUAGUUGGUGGGUAAC